GUUUAUGGUGACCAUCUAGCUGCGACAGGUCAACUGUAUUGGACAGAUAUGACAUGAGUCUUUUGCAGAAUCCAAGAGUUUGCAUAAGGACCACAGAGCAAUGAUUCUGGCUUCAUCCAGGUACAGGUGAGAUGACUUUAUAAUGUCUUAGAGGGCCAUGGCAGGCAUCACAGCAAUUUUCAAGGCUUUGAAGACUUUCUGCUCAGUCUCAGCCCAUCUCAAAGGCAGUGAAGCCUGGAUGCUGGCAUAGAGGAGCUUCACUAUAUGAGUGAAUCUUAUUAUCCAUGGCCAGCAGUAUCCAACUUCUUCCAACUCAACGGAGGGAGUGUGGAUUUGCAGAAUAGCAGAAAUAAGGUCAUAGGAAGCAUUCACUCUCCUUCCUCUAGGUUGCAGCCUAGGAAUGUGACCUGAGGCACACAUAGCUGUACCUUCUUGGCUGUACCCUAGAGCUUGCAGGGAAUCUAAAAAGGCCUUUUAUUAGCCGUUUACAUUCCUUCUCAAUGUCUGGAACUAUGAGGAAACCAUAUACAAUCUAGAGCAGGGUGCUUUGUGAGUAUUUCUGUUUUAAUGCCCAUCUAACAAUACUGGUGGUUCCUAGACCUCUUCUCCUGGUUGACCUCCUCCAUUUCAUCUUUUGUCUCUUUCUUCAAGAAAAGUAAUCACAGCACCAGGGAGUUUCUAUUCCUGUCUGUCUUCAUCUGAAUCUUGGCUGCUGUAUUCCAGUACAACGUUCCAACUUGAAAUCUAUUUAUCCCUUCAAAACCCUGUAAUUUCUGGAAAUUUCUCCUUAUGUCUAGAGUUGACUGCAUGACAAAUGCAACAUUAGUGGCUUCUUUUGGGGGUGGGAGUAGGGUAAAUACUUAAUAUGUCUCAUAGAUCCUUUCCAAAAACCCAUCAUCAGGUCCUUGAGCAACAUGGCCUCUGGCAAGUUACCUAGUGGGUUUCCUGACUGCUGCCUUUAAUCCUACCAGUAAUGUUUGUUGAAAAGAGAAGCUUCCUAUGGCCUCUUACUUUCAAUAGUUUCCACCAGGCUGAUAAGGGCCUGCGUCUUCUUGUAAAGGGAAUGAUUCGGGUCUUCCCUACAUAGAGAAAGGAAAAUAAACCAUGAACAGAGAAGGAGUAGAACUUCUACUCCUUGGUGUUACUGGGGAAUUACAUCCUCCCUCCCCAUACAACCAACUGUUUAGAGCAGAUGGUGAAGUAUGUUCCUCUAGGAAUUCCCUGCAGCAGGGCUGAGGGAACAGAUGUGUGGCAGCCAAAAUGGAGUUGGUAGCCAAAUAUGAGUGUGUAUUGCUGUCUGGUGCUGAGUCUGAGCGGUGGAAUUUUGCCUCCUGGUCCUGGUAAACAUGGGUCUAAUCUAAAGCUCAAUGUCUCAGAGACUGACCUUGGCAAUCUUAGCAGCAGAAGCUCUGACCCUGAGAAAUAGAUAAUAAACUCCAUGCAACCAUGGGGACCAGAUAGAAAAUUCUGUGUAACCUUGAGUGAAUCCUCAGACACUUUACAAAGUGAAGCUGCUACCAUGAGAAACUGCUUGUAAUUUUCUGCUAUUUAAGUGCUGUGUUCAUGAUCAGUAAACAACACCUUGAUCAGAGUCUUGAUUUGCUGUCCUCCUUUGCGUUGUCCUGCUCUUUUUCUACCCAGCCUUCACUCAGGUGGUAUUCAAGUGUCGCUGCAGGCAGUGACACAGGUGAAGGGUGUUUUGCAAUUUCUGUGGUUAACCUAGUUGGGUAAAAAGUAUUUCAGUUCCCUAAAAGAGGGCACAUGUCUUAAACCAAGGGAAGUAUCCUCAUACCAGAGAAAAACAUUGGUUCCUACAUGAAAACUAUGGCUGAACCAUACUAGGGAGCUGCCAGUGUCACCAUAGCAACAGCAGAACCAGAUUUCAGUCACUGGCUGAAAAGAAGUGCCAAAGCACUGGUGGGCAGUAUGGGCUUUGUAUGAACCACAAGACUUCAGUAAAUCCUCUACCACCUCAGGGGCAGCUGUGGCUGUGGUCUCAGGACAAACGCACUUUAGAUCUGUUUUUCAAACAAACAGAACUGACAGAAAAAGACACAGAGAUUCACACCGGGAGGCUCUGUCAUACAUAGAGAGAGUAAAGAUAUAUAUGGGUGGCCACCACACAUUCAUAUAUCUGAACAGACUAGGGGAGUCUGGUGAUGUGUCAUAAGGAUCCCAGACCCAGGAUCUGUUGUUGCUUAUGACCUCCCCUUUUGUGUCCAAACCUCAUGGCAGCUUUUCCUGAUCAAAGUUAUUUCCAGAGGUGUUCAGACCAAAUGUGUUGCGACCUGCGUAACCGUCUCGCCAGCAAGAACGCACGCGGACAACAGGAUCCUUCUGCAGCAAGCUUUAUUACAAUGAAAAGAGGAAGACCCCGAGCCCCGAAGUGGUGCUGUUUAUAUAAGCCCUGCUCACACCAGAGUGGUGUGAGAUGACAUAUCAUCCCCUGAUUGGCUGCUCACCCAUGGUGUGAGAUGACGUAUCAUCCCCUGAUUGGGUGCUCACCCAUCACCCCAUAAGAAAACCCGGGCUGGGCUCGUGACUUGGCGUGCCAUUGCCGAACGGUCAUGCACUCUAGGACUUGUUUACCAGUUUUGAGGGUGGAAGCCAGCACCAUGGCGACCAAACCCUGGCUCUCCACACAGAUGACUUUUGAUUUACUUACUUUUCUUUUGGGUGACAGCAUCACAGUGCGUCUAGAAUGCCUGGGAGUGGUUGGGUACAGAGGACUUUCUUGGAUCUCUUGAAGAUUUCAGAAAUAAUUCCUGAGAGGAACACCUCAUGUUUUCAUUCUACCUCCCUGAUGAUCCUGCCUUUGUUUCUCUGGUGGGCUCAUAGCUCUUAGACAAAACAACUGGCCAAAGUUUCACAGGAGUUUACUCUAGUUCUUGCUCUUCAAAACUCUUUCAGACUUUUUCCUCCCUCUCUUAUUCCCUUUCCCUUAUUACAACCCUUAUUCAACUGUUCUCUUUCUCAGUUUACUUACAUUCAUUGUUUCAGUGACAAUAUCCAAAUUACCACCAAUGAUAUAUUCAGGUCAAAGCAUUUUUCUGAGCUUUAAAUUCAUAGUCUUCAUUUAUUGCUCAAUCUGUUCAUAUGAAUAAUUCCAAGUCACCUUUAGUUCUAUCCAUCAAACACAACCCAUAAUUGAUAGUUUUGUAACUUGACUCUGUUUCCGGACUUCCAAACACUUAUGAAUGAAUAAUCUACAGAGAUUCUUGAGCUACAGCAUUGGCAACACCCUUAACACCUCUCUAUUUUUCAUUUUUAAUCUCCUAAACACUGACAUACAUCUGUAUAUUAUUAAAUCCUUCUUUAGUCCAUUAAUAUCCAUUAAUAUGUCUUUAAACACCAUGUCUUAUUUUUCUAUGAUAAAACACAACAACCAAACACAACUUGCUGAGGAAAAGAUUAUUUGGCUUAAGCCUCCACAUAAUUUCUCAUCAUCCAAAAAAGUAAGAACAGGAGCCCAAGAAAGGCAGGAUCCUAAAGGCAUGAGUAGGUCAUGCUGAGGUCAUGAAGGGUGUUGCUUACAGACUUGCUCUUUAUGGCUUGCUCAUCUGGUUUCUUUAGAACCCAGGUGUGGCACCCAACCAAAUUGAGUAAGUCUUUCCCCAUCAAUUAGGAAUUAAGAAAAUGUCCUACAGGCUUGUCUUACAACCUUCUUGGUCUUCUCUGGGCAUAGCCAGCAGAGGUGAGCUCAGCUAUGUUUCCUGAGCUCACUUUUGAGGAGAAAGGCCAUGCCUUUCUUAUUAAAGAGGCCUGUGGGAUCCCAGGAACAUUCAGGUCUGCCUGGGGUGCAAGCAGCAGAGGUGAGAAGCAAGCUAUUUCCUGAACACCAUAGUUAGUCCCAAGAUUCUGCCUGUCUCCCAUAGGAGUCCUGCAGCAUUAGGAACAUCCAACUACUACCAGGGACAAGCAGAUGGUUAAAGGUCAGCCUAAGACCACAAUCAACAAGAGCCAGUACAAUAUGGCAACAGCAGAUCCGAGCUAUUUUAUUACAACAAGCCCUGGAUAUCUUAACACAGCCAAAGGACAAAAAGAUGAUCUUAACUCUUACCUUAUGAAGAUGAUAGAGGUCAUUAAAGAGGAAAUGAUUAUGUUCCUUAAAAAAUGCAGGGAAAUAGAAUCAAACAGGUGAAGGGAAUGAACAAAACUUUUCAAGAUAUGAAAAUGGAAGUGAAAUCUUAAAGAAAACACAGAGGGAAUCCUAGAGAAGAAAGCCUAGGAAAUAUAUCAGGAACUAUAGGUGCAGACACCAACAGAAUAUACGAAAUGGAAGAGGGAAUCUUAGGCAUAGAAGAUAAGAAAUUGAUACAUAAGUCAAAGAGAAUCUUAAAUCUAAAAGGUUCAUGACACAAAGCAUCCAUGAAACUUUGGACCCACCGAAAAGACCAAACCUAAGAAUAAUAGCAAUAGUAGGAGAAGACCCUCAGCAUCAAGACCCAGAAAAUAUUUUUUAACAAAUUCAUAGAAGAAACCUUUCCCAACCUAAAGCAAUAUCUGUCUACAUGCAUACAAGAAGGCGACAGAACAUCAAAUAGAUUGGACCAGAAAAUAAAACCUUCCUACCGAAUAAUAAUCAAACCACCAAAUAUACCAAACAAGGAAAUACAAUCAAAAACAUAAAGGCAGACCUAUUAGUAUUACCUGACUUCUUAACAGAGACUCUAAAAUCCAGAAGGGCCUAGGCAGACAUAUUAUAGACUCUAAGAGACCACAGAUAUCAGCCUAGAUUACUAUAUCCAGCAAAACUUUUAAUCAACAUAGAUGGAGAAGACAAGAUAUUCAAAGGGAAAAUAAAAUUUAAACAGUAUCUGUCCACAAAUCUAGAUCUACAGUAGAUACUAGAGAAAAACAAAAAAGAUUAACUACAUUCAAUAAAACACAGAAAAUAAAUAACUCCAAAUCUGCAAAUCAAAAGAAAGAAUACACACGCGUGCACACACACACACACACACACACACACACACACACUGUAUCCUACCACUAUAUAAAGAACAACAACAACAGGAAUUAACAAUCAUUGGUCAUUAACCCCUCUCAACACCAAAUAUCUAAAAAAUGGGUUUUCAAUGUAAAUUAAUGAAAAUACUUCAAAAAGGACAGUUCAUACUCAACAAAGAAAAAACUAAACAAGAUGACAUCUCAAUUUUGACCAUCUAUGUCCCAAAUUCAAGAGCACCCACCAUUAUAAAAGAAACAUUACUAAAGGUUAACUCACACAUCAAACCUUACACAUUAAUAGUGGGGAACUUCAACACCCCCUUCUAUGGGCAGGUCAUCAAGAUAGAAAUUAUACAGAGAAAUAACAAAACUAAUUGACAUAGUGAAUCAAAUGGAUAUAACAGUUAUCUACACAACAUUUCACCCAAACACAAAAGAAUAUAUCUUUUUAGAACCUCAUAGAUUCUUCUCCAAAACUGACCAUAUAGUCACUCACAAAGUAAGCCUCAAGAGAUACAAAAUAACUUAAAUAUCUAUUUGUAUGUUGUCAGACCACUACUGAUUAAAGCUUGACUACAACAAAAAGAGAAACAACAGAAUGACUACAAGCUGAAGGAACCACUCUCUACUCAGUGACCACUGAAUUCAAUGAACAUGAAGGCACAGCAUUCCCAAAAUUAUGUGACUCAGUGAGAGCAGUGGUAAAAGGAAAGUUCAUAGCAUCAAGUGCCUUCAUAAAGAAACUGGAGAGAUCUAAUGAUAGCAAUUUAAAAGUACAUCUGAAAGUUCUAGAAGAAAAAGAAGCAAAGUCACCCAAUAGAAGUAAAUUGCAGAAAAUAAUCAAACUCAGGUCUGACAUCAAUAAAUUAGAAACAAAGAUAAUAAAAGAGUGAAUCAACAUUACCAAGGGCUGAUUAUUUGUGGAAAUCAACAGGAAACAGUUGCAUGCAUUCUGGGAGUACAUUUAACAUCUUGUGAAUGGUAAAAGGCACUGGAAUUUGGGACAAAAAUCUUUAGUGCAUUCAGAGACAUCUACUGCAGGCACCUUGCAAAUCUGUUUCCAUUACUAGAUUAAGUUUCAAUAUUUGAAAACAUUGCCUUUAGAUAAAUAAGAAGACCCCCCCAAAAGAUGGAAUUUUCAUCUCUAAUGGAAGAAAUAUUGCAGAAUAUUAUUCUCCAGGACAUUUUCACUGGCUUAUCUUUGGGAAAAAUGACUGGCAAAACUUUUCUGGUCUUUGGAUAUUUUAAUGUAAUUGUUAGAGAAUGGAAUGUGUGCCAAGGACUGAACAAAGCCUCUGUGUGUCUUCUCAUGCAAUCUUCUAAACCUCUAUAAAGUAAAGUUUGAUUAUGUCUCAUUUCCAUACAGGGAAAUAACAGUGCUUGAAGUAUACAUAGAUAGUUCAAUGGUGACGGUUUAAAACAUUACAGCUCCAUUGACAUCCAUGUAAUUUCCUCUGAUCUUCAAAAACUGGAGUCCUCACCCAUUUCUUGCAGCACAUGUGCCUGACUUAGUGGGAUCUGUCAAGAUACCCUGAUGUAUAAACCAUGGAAAGAUUCAACAAAGAAAAGGAAUUUCAGACCAUUUUCCCUUAUGAAUAUUGACUCAAAAUUUCUCAAGAAAAUACAAAUUGGAUACAAGAACAUAGGAGAGGAAGAGGGAAGGUGCUACAGGUGGGAUACAUAGGAGAUAUUUACAGGACUGCCACAUGGAGAUGGAAAUAUCCACACAUAAGGUAAAAUA